CGCGUCAGAAUGUGAACUGCAGGACACAUGAACACCGACAAGUUGAACGCAUAUUGCGCAUCGUGCGACCAGCACGGUGUACACAUUUUUGAGUGCCUAUAUUUAUCCUUCAUUCAACUGCGCGCUGCGUGCUGGUGUAACAAACCGCGCGACAGCGUGCGCCCACUGAAUGCGUUGUGCAACCGCCCGCCGCGGUAGCGCAAACAUUGAAUACCGAAGCGUGUUUUCCGGUCACAUAACGAGAUGUGCUUGUGUCUUCCAACGGCACAGUGCACUUGCUAGCGUGCCCCGGGCCAACACCUCACCGACGUUAGCGCGUUCGCGUGUGCGUGUGCUCGGCCCGAAGUGCCGCCGCGAGCUGCUGCUGCAAUCUCUCCGGUGUGCGUACCAGAUAAACGCUUUCUCACGACACGAAGAAAAAACCUCAGUAGGCCUCAAAUAAUGUGUGACUACCCCCUAAAUUUAAGCAU
rnacentral:rRNA from 1 species